AGUGAACGCUGGCGGUAGGCCUAACACAUGCAAGUCGAACGGCAGCACAGUAAGAGCUUGCUCUUACGGGUGGCGAGUGGCGGACGGGUGAGGAAUACAUCGGUAUCUACUUUUUCGUGGGGGAUAACGUAGGGAAACUUACGCUAAUACCGCAUACGACCUACGGGUGAAAGCAGGGGAUCUUCGGACCUUGCGCGAUUGAAUGAGCCGAUGUCGGAUUAGCUAGUUGGCGGGGUAAAGGCCCACCAAGGCGACGAUCCGUAGCUGGUCUGAGAGGAUGAUCAGCCACACUGGAACUGAGACACGGUCCAGACUCCUACGGGAGGCAGCAGUGGGGAAUAUUGGACAAUGGGCGCAAGCCUGAUCCAGCCAUACCGCGUGGGUGAAGAAGGCCUUCGGGUUGUAAAGCCCUUUUGUUGGGAAAGAAAAGCAGCAGGUUAAUACCCCGCUGUUCUGACAGUACCCAAAGAAUAAGCACCGGCUAACUUCGUG
rnacentral:rRNA from 1 species